rnacentral:lncRNA from 1 species
GCCCGUUGUCGUAUGGCAGUGCCGGAGGUGGGGGUGAAUUUUUGCUGCUGCAAAUCUCCGCAGACCGUCUGUUGGGGAAAAAGCACCCGGAGUUCGACCAGAAUCUUCAGGGGAAAUAAUAAUACUAAUAAUAAAAUCUGGAUCGUAAAGGUGAAAGCUUUAUAUUUGGGGGAGAAAACCCAAACCCUCACCCAAGCCCCCCCUCCCCCAGACCUCUCACUUUGGAAGAAACCACCCAAACCAUGAGGGCCGUCUCUGGGGCGUUGGAAAAAGGAUGUGGGAGCGAACCAGGUAACAGAGCUGCUCUCUUGGCAUGCAUUUCUGAUCGUUUUAUUGCCUCCUUUCACCAGAAAGUU